UUAAGUUCAGCGGGUAACCCUGUCUGAUCCGAGGUCAACCUGAGAUGGCGGUUGAGACGGGUCCGGAAAGGCCGGGGAUGCGUGCUGUGUACAGCUCGCUGCAUCAACGGUCUACAGGACCCGCCAUUAGCUUUCGGGUCAACCGCGUAGGCGGUGGAGACCCAACGACAAGCCGAGCUUGAGAUUGGACUAAUGACGCU
rnacentral:misc_RNA from 1 species